UGGGGAAUCAUAGACACUGGGGGCAACCCUGAUCUUGCCAUGCCGCGUGAGCGAUGAAGGCCCUAGGGUUGUAAAGCUCUUUCACCCGUGACGAUAAUGACGGUAGCGGGAGAAGAAACCCCGGCUAACUCCGUGCCAGCAGCCGCGGUAAUACGGAGGGGGUUAGCGUUGUUCGGAAUUACUGGGCGUAAAGCGCACGUAGGCGGAUCGGAAAGUUGGGGGUGAAAUCCCGGGGCUCAACCCCGGAACUGCCUUCGAAACUGCCGGUCUUGAGUCCGAGAGAGGUGAGUGGAACUCCGAGUGUAGAGGUGAAAUUCGUAGAUAUUCGGAAGAACACCAGUGGCGAAGGCGGCUCACUGGCUCGGUACUGACGCUGAGGUGCGAAAGCGUGGGGAGCAAACAGGAUUAGAUACCCCCGUAGUCC
rnacentral:rRNA from 1 species